rnacentral:rRNA from 1 species
NCCUGGAGAUGGGUCNCAGUCCUAUUAGCUUGUUGGUGGGGUAACGGCCUACCAAGGCUGCGAUGGGUNGCGGNNNUGAGAGCGUGGCCCGGCNCACUGGGACUGAGACACUGCCCAGACACCUACGGGUGGCUGNAGUCGAGAAUCUUCCGCAAUGGACGAAAGUCUGACGGAGCGANGCCGNGUGCGGGAUGAAGGCCUUCGGGUUGUAAACCGCUGUCAGUUGGGAGGAAAUCCAUGGGGCUAUCCCCAUGGGUUGACCUAUCUUCAGAGGAAGGCCG